GAUGAACGCUGGCGGCGUGCCUAAUACAAGCAAGUCGAGCGAACAGACGAGGAGCUUGCUCCUCUGACGUUAGCGGCGGACGGGUGAGUAACACGUGGAUAACCUACCUAUAAGACUGGGAUAACUUCGGGAAACCGGAGCUAAUACCGGAUAAUAUAUUGAACCGCAUGGUUCAAUAGUGAAAGACGGUUUUGCUGUCACUUAUAGAUGGAUCCGCGCCGCAUUAGCUAGUUGGUAAGGUAACGGCUUACCAAGGCGACGAUGCGUAGCCGACCUGAGAGGGUGAUCGGCCACACUGGAACUGAGACACGGUCCAGACUCCUACGGGAGGCAGCAGUAGGGAAUCUUCCGCAAUGGGCGAAAGCCCGACGGAGCAACGCCGCGUGAGUGAUGAAGGUCUUCGGAUCGUAAAACUCUGUUAUUAGGGAAGAACAAAUGUGUAAGUAACUAUGCACGUCUUGACGGUACCUAAUCAGAAAGCCACGGCUAACUACGUG
rnacentral:rRNA from 1 species